GAUGAACGCUGGCGGCGUGCCUAAUACAUGCAAGUCGAGCGAACAGACGAGGAGCUUGCUCCUCUGACGUUAGCGGCGGACGGGUGAGUAACACGUGGAUAACCUACCUAUAAGACUGGGAUAACUUCGGGAAACCGGAGCUAAUACCGGAUAAUCUAUUGAACCGCAUGGUUCAAUAGUGAAAGACGGUUUUGCUGUCACUUAUAGAUGGAUCCGCGCCGCAUUAGCUAGUUGGUAAGGUAACGGCUUACCAAGGCAACGAUGCGUAGCCGACCUGAGAGGGUGAUCGGCGACACUGGAGCUGAGACACGGUCCAGACUCCUACGGGAGGCAGCAGUAGGGAAUCUUCCGCAAUGGGCGAAAGCCUGACGGAGCAACGCCGCGUGAGUGAUGAAGGUCUUCGGAUCGUAAAACUCUGUUAUUAGGGAAGAACAAAUGUGUAAGUAACUAUGCACGUCUUGACGGUACCUAAUCAGAAAGCCACGGCUAACUACGUG
rnacentral:rRNA from 1 species